rnacentral:misc_RNA from 1 species
GAUGAAGAACGUAGCGAAAUGCGAUACGUAAUGUGAAUUGCAAAUUCAGUGAAUCAUCGAGUCUUUGAACGCACAUUGCGCCCCCUGGUAUUCCGGGGGGCAUGCCUGUCCGAGCGUCAUUGCUGCCCUCAAGCACGGCUUGUGUGUUGGGCCCCGUCCUCCGAUCCCGGGGGACGGGCCCGAAAGGCAGCGGCGGCACCGCGUCCGGUCCUCGAGCGUAUGGGGCUUUGUCACCCGCUCUGUAGGCCCGGCCCGCGCUUGCCGAUCAACCCAAAUUUUUUAUCCAGGUUGACCUCGGAUCAGGUAGGGAUACCCGCUGAACUUAAGCAUAUCAAUAAGCGGAGGA